GUCCGUCGUGAAGAGGGAAACAACCCAGACCGCCAGCUAAGGUCCCAAAGUCAUGGUUAAGUGGGAAACGAUGUGGGAAGGCAUAGACAGCCAGGAUGUUGGCUUAGAAGCAGCCAUCAUUUAAAGAAAGCGUAAUAGCUCACUGGUCGAGUCGGCCUGCGCGGAAGAUGUAACGGGGCUAAACCAUGCACCGAAGCUGCGGCAGCGACGCUUAGNCGCCAGCUAAGGUCCCAAAGUCAUGGUUAAGUGGGAAACGAUGUGGGAAGGCAUAGACAGCCAGGAUGUUGGCUUAGAAGCAGCCAUCAUUUAAAGAAAGCGUAAUAGCUCACUGGUCGAGUCGGCCUGCGCGGAAGAUGUAACGGGGCUAAACCAUGCACCGAAGCUGCGGCAGCGACGCUUAGCGUUGUUGGGUAGGGGAGCGUUCUGUAAGCCGUUGAAGGUGGCCUGUGAGGGUUGCUGGAGGUAUCAGAAGUGCGAAUGCUGACAUAAGUAACGAUAAAGCGGGUGAAAAGCCCGCUCGCCGGAAGACCAAGGGUUCCUGUCCAACGUUAAUCGGGGCAGGGUGAGUCGACCCCUAAGGCGAGGCUGAAAAGCGUAGUCGAUGGGAAACAGGUUAAUAUUCCUGUACUUGGUGUUACUGCGAAGGGGGGACGGAGAAGGCUAGGCUAGCCGGGCGACGGUUGUCCCGGUUUAAGCGUGUAGGGGGUGUGACC
rnacentral:rRNA from 1 species